rnacentral:rRNA from 1 species
AUCUACGGCCAUAGCACCCUGAACGCCAUCCAGUCUCAUCGGAUCUCAGAUGCUAAGCAGGGUCAGGCCUGGUUAGUACUUGGAUGGGAAAAUGCAGAUAUAAGGCCAGUUC